GACGAACGCUGGCGGCGUGCUUAACACAUGCAAGUCGAACGAAGUGGCGAACGGGUGAGUAACGCGUAAUCAACCUGCCCUUCAGAGGGGGACAACAGGUGGAAACGACUGCUAAUACCGCAUACGGCAGGAAGGGAUUGCGUCUGAUUAGCUAGUUGGAGGGGUAACGGCCCACCAAGGCGAUGAUCAGUAACCGGGCUGUGAGGAUGAACGGCCACAUGGGGACGGAGACACGGCUCAGACUCCUACGGGAGGCAGCAGUGGGGAAUCUUCCGCAAUGGACGAAAGUCUGACGGAGCAACGCCGCGUGAGUGAUGACGGCCUUCGGGUUGUAAAGCUCUGUUAAUCAGGACGCGGUACCGGAAUAGAAAGCCACGGCUAACUACGUGCCAGCAGCCGCGGUAAUAA
rnacentral:rRNA from 1 species